rnacentral:rRNA from 1 species
GACGAACGCUGGCGGCGUGCUUAACACAUGCAAGUCGAACGGAAAGGCCCCUUUGGGGGUCCUCGAGUGGCGAACGGGUGAGUAACACGUGAGUAACCUGCCCUUGACUUCGGGAUAACUUCAGGAAACUGGGGCUAAUACCGGAUAGGAAUCCUUGCUGCAUGGUGGGGGUUGGAAAGCUUCGGCGGUUUUGGAUGGACUCGCGGCUUAUCAGCUUGUUGGUGGGGUAGUGGCUUACCAAGGCUUUGACGGGUAGCCGGCCUGAGAGGGCGACCGGCCACAUUGGGACUGAGAUACGGCCCAGACUCCUACGGGAGGCAGCAGUGGGGAAUGUUGCACAAUGGGCGGAAGCCUGAUGCAGCAACGCCGCGUGCGGGAUGACGGCCUUCGGGUUGUAAACCGCUUUCAGCAGGGGCGAAGCUUGUGGUGACGGUACCUGCAGAAGAAGCACCGGCUAACUACGUG